rnacentral:lncRNA from 10 species
CCUCCCCAGUCCUGAGGCUGCCUGGACCUCGCGCCUCCCCAGUCCUGAGGCUGCCUGGACCUUGCGCCUCCCCAGCCCUCAGGGGCUGCCUGGACCUCAUGCCUCCCCCAACCCUCAGAGGCUACCUGGGCCUCACGCUGUCCCCAGCCAUGUGGCUGCCUAGGCCUCACGCCUUCUCCAGGCCGGAGGCUGUCUUGGUCUCACGCCUUCCCCAGCUCUUCCUGAUGAGCUGCCAGUCCACACCUGCAAGCGUCCCCAGGCCCCACACAGCAGGUCUGACCAGCACUGGUCCAGGCCCAGGCCCAGGGAGUGGAUUCCUCCUGACCCACCAAAGACAGUGAUUCACGGAGCGACUGAAAGGAAUGUGAGGCUCAGAGUAAACCAGACAAACGCUGCAGGUGAGGCCUCAUCGGAGUAAACCAGACAAACGCUGCAGGUAAGGCCUCACUGGAGUAAACCAGACAAACGCUGCAGGUGAGGCCUCAUCGGAGUAAACCAGACAAACGCUGCAGGUGAGGCCUCAUCGGAGUAAACCAGACAAACGCUGCAGGUGAGGCCUCAUUGGAGUAAACCAGACACACUCUCCAGGUGAGGCCUCAUCGGAGUAAACAAGACAUACUCUCCAGGUGAGGCCUUAUCCUCUGAACCAAUCGUCGCAGGGCUUUCCACCACUCACUCCAGGAACAGUAAACAACACACGGGCUAGACAUCAAUAGGCCCGUUUCUCUUGUCUGUCAUCUGCAAGGGAUUCCAGAAACCAAGGAAGCACAGCGCAGCCCUGGGAAGCCUGGGCCAGGCCCUGGAGACCCCGGAGACGCGAGUGAGGGUGUCAAGGCAGACCAGGCUUUCCUCUCCCUGAGACUGGAGCCUCCAGGGCCCACCAAGGGGCCCGCCCAGACAGGCAGGACCCUCUCCCUGGGCCCCAUGUGGGCUGAGGGGCCCCUCGGCCAGCACAGUGGCAAGGACAUGGACCAGGGGGUCUGGGACUUGAGAGUCCCCCAGAGGGUCCCAGGCCCUCUUUACUGGAUGCCGUCUGGCGAGUGGCAUCUCUGCUUCCACAGAAGAGGUUGAGGGGACGGCCUCACUGCUCCUGAGGCCACCGCGCCACCAGCCACGCUCCUGCCCACGAGGGUCUCCUGCAUCUAGGUGCCGUGGAUGCUCCUCCUCUGCAGUCCCCGUGGCCCAGCCCUCUCACAGGCUGUCCCCUGGCCUAUGUCUCCCGUCCCCAGUGAGGUGGCUUCCAAAAUCCACCAGACACGCAGGUCCUGAUUGGCCAAGGUCAGAGUAAGGGGACGCGGCAUGGUGAGGGAAGAGGCCAGGAGAGCAAGCCUGGGGACACAGAACCAAGUGAGGGCUUAAGGGCCACUCCCUGCAGACGGCGGCCAGCGGACACCUGCAAGAUCCUGGGAUGCACACGGCGCCGUGGCAGCACUGCGGGUAAGAGCCUGUGAACGGGGAACAUGGCUCGGAGAACCAGCGCACAGCCGGCAAUCAUGUGCUCACAGGAAAAUAGCUGAUGACGUGCUGCUGAGCAGGAAAGCUGCAGAGUGGUUUAUAAAUGUGAUUCCAUUAUUAAAUAAAUACUCAAGGCCUCCCAAAAGAAAAACACCCGUACCUGUAUGCAGGCAGAAACAGAUAAAUGAUGCUGCCCAUCCCACAUCCCGAAUGAGUGUCCAAGACUCACACAGCCCCAGAUCCUCCCUCGGACUCGGCCCCCACCUCCGGCCCCAGGCUCCUACCCGACCCACCAAAGCUCAGUCCCCGCCCUCAGUCCAACUCAGCACCGGGAGCCCUGGGCCUCCACCGCCCAGCCUUGGGGUGGCUUCAGCCGCCUGCUUGAGAGGACGCUCUGUGCACAGUGGCCGGAGCUGGCCUUCGACGCCCAAGUCUGCCCGGAGCCUUUUUUGCUCAAAGCCCCUGGUGCCCCUCCCCACUCAGAACAAGCCAGAGUCUGCAGCCUCAGCCCAUCUGCGGUCCCUGAGAGCUGCUGGUGACCCCCACACCACACAGCUCUCUUCCUGGCCCCAAGGGUCCUGACCUCCUCAGGGAGCGCUGCCCCACCACCUGCGUGCCCCUGCCCCUCCCCCCGCCCUUCUGAGCCAUCUCUUUUGCCUUCUUGGUCCAAUUUCAUCCCUGACCCAACUCGACUGCAGCUCUAGGAGAAGGUUCUUUCCUGACUGGCUUCCUGAGCACGGUGCCAGCUUCCGACAGGGCCCAGUGCUUGGUUGGCCCCAGCAGGUAAGCCAGGGAUGGACGGUUGCGUGCUGCGCACCGGCUGCCAAGGGCUCAGUGUCCAGUGCCCAUCUCUGCCUGGAGGUUGCAAAGCCCAGCUGCAUCCCCAGCUGUUCACAGACCGCACCCAGCUUCUGCCAAGGGCUGUGACCAAGCAGCGCUGGAGACGUGCAGAGGCAUCCACACCGGGCCCUGGUCGGGAUAAGCGCUUGGAGCUGAGUGGCCCAAAGUGCCGGCCUGGAGUGCAGGGCUGGCCAAGUGUCGCCGUGGGGCUCAUGGACCCCUGGAGGGGACCCCAGCCCUGGAGUAAAUACCCAAACCGGCAGCCCCAGUAAAGGACCCUGCCUGACGCAUGUGCAGCUGUGUCUGUGCAGGAAAAGAACCGGGGCACUGGCGCCUCAGCACCACCUGAGCAGCUGUAAGAGGGAGGCGCCCACGUCUUCAUCUCGUGCCUGGGGGCUCUUAGGUCUUUUUGCAGCCUACACAGCCUUUGUGAUAAAACUCCACAAUGACAGACAAGAAAAAUGAAGCAAAAUAAAACCCUCCAC